GAACUGAAACAUCUAAGUACCCGAAGGAAAGGACAUCAAUUGAGACUCCGCUAGUAGUGGCGAGCGAACGCGGAUCAGGCCAGUAAUUUAUCUGAUCAAACCGGAAUCUUCUGGAAAGUUGAGCCAUAGUCGGUGAUAGCCCGGUACGGAUAACGUGAUGAUAAAUUCUCGAGUAGGGCGGGACACGUGAAAUCCUGUCUGAA
rnacentral:rRNA from 1 species